rnacentral:rRNA from 1 species
UACGUAGGGUGCAAGCGUUAAUCGGAAUUACUGGGCGUAAAGCGUGCGCAGGCGGUUAUGCAAGACAGAUGUGAAAUCCCCGGGCUCAACCUGGGAACUGCAUUUGUGACUGCAUGGCUAGAGUGCGGCAGAGGGGGAUGGAAUUCCGCGUGUAGCAGUGAAAUGCGUAGAUAUGCGGAGGAACACCGAUGGCGAAGGCAAUCCCCUGGGCCUGCACUGACGCUCAUGCACGAAAGCGUGGGGGAGCAAACAGG